UACGUAGGUGGCAAGCGUUUGUCCGGAAUUAUUGGGCGUAAAGCGCGCGCAGGCGGCCUCUUAAGUCUGAUGUGAAAGCCCCCCGGCUCAACCGGGGAGGGCCAUUGGAAACUGGGAGGCUUGAGUAUAGGAGAGAAGAGUGGAAUUCCACGUGUAGCGGUGAAAUGCGUAGAGAUGUGGAGGAACACCAGUGGCGAAGGCGACUCUUUGGCCUAUAACUGACGCUGAGGCGCGAAAGCGUGGGGAGCAAACAGG
rnacentral:rRNA from 1 species